UCCUCCUAAAGCGUAACGGAGGAGCACGAAGGUUGGCUAAUCCUGGUCGGACAUCAGGAGGUUAGUGCAAUGGCAUAAGCCAGCUUGACUGCGAGCGUGACGGCGCGAGCAGGUGCGAAAGCAGGUCAUAGUGAUCCGGUGGUUCUGAAUGGAAGGGCCAUCGCUCAACGGAUAAAAGGUACUCCGGGGAUAACAGGCUGAUACCGCCCAAGAGUUCAUAUCGACGGCGGUGUUUGGCACCUCGAUGUCGGCUCAUCACAUCCUGGGGCUGAAGUAGGUCCCAAGGGUAUGGCUGUUCGCCAUUUAAAGUGGUACGCGAGCUGGGUUUAGAACGUCGUGAGACAGUUCGGUCCCUAUCUGCCGUGGGCGCUGGAGAACUGAGGGGGGCUGCUCCUAGUACGAGAGGACCGGAGUGGACGCAUCACUGGUGUUCGGGUUGUCAUGCCAAUGGCACUGCCCGGUAGCUAAAUGCGGAAGAGAUAAGUGCUGAAAGCAUCUAAGCACGAAACUUGCCCCG
rnacentral:rRNA from 1 species